UGGCGGCAGGCCUAACACAUGCAAGUCGAGCGGUAGAGAGAAGCUUGCUUCUCUUGAGAGCGGCGGACGGGUGAGUAAUACCUAGGAAUCUGCCUGGUAGUGGGGGAUAACGUUCGGAAACGGACGCUAAUACCGCAUACGUCCUACGGGAGAAAGCAGGGGACCUUCGGGCCUUGCGCUAUCAGAUGAGCCUAGGUCGGAUUAGCUAGUUGGUGAGGUAAUGGCUCACCAAGGCUACGAUCCGUAACUGGUCUGAGAGGAUGAUCAGUCACACUGGAACUGAGACACGGUCCAGACUCCUACGGGAGGCAGCAGUGGGGAAUAUUGGACAAUGGGCGAAAGCCUGAUCCAGCCAUGCCGCGUGUGUGAAGAAGGUCUUCGGAUUGUAAAGCACUUUAAGUUGGGAGGAAGGGCAGUAAAUUAAUACUUUGCUGUUUGACGUUACCGACAGAAUAAGCACCGGCUAACUCUGUGCCAGCAGCCGCGGUAAUACAGAGGGUGCAAGCGUUAAUCGGAAUUACUGGGCGUAAAGCGCGCGUAGGUGGUUUGUUAAGUUGAAUGUGAAAUCCCCGGGCUCAACCUGGGAACUGCAUCCAAAACUGGCAAGCUAGAGUAUGGUAGAGGGUAGUGGAAUUUCCUGUGUAGCGGUGAAAUGCGUAGAUAUAGGAAGGAACACCAGUGGCGAAGGCGACUACCUGGACUGAUACUGACACUGAGGUGCGAAAGCGUG
rnacentral:rRNA from 1 species